CCUACGGGUGGCUGCAGUGGGGGAUAUUGCACAAUGGGGGAAACCCUGAUGCAGCGACGCCGCGUGAGUGAAGAAGUAUUUCGGUAUGUAAAGCUCUAUCAGCAGGGACGAAAAUGACGGUACCUGAGUAAGAAGCCCCGGCUAACUACGUGCCAGCAGCCGCGGUAAUACGUAGGGGGCAAGCGUUAUCCUGAUUUACUGGGUGUAAAGGGAGCGUAGACGGUAACGCAAGUCAGGAGUGAAAGCCGAAGGCUUAACCAUCGGACUGCUCUGGAAACUGUGGAACUGGAGUGCAGGAGAGGUAAGUGGAAUUCCUAGUGUAGCGGUGAAAUGCGUAGAUAUUAGGAGGAACACCAGUGGCGAAGGCGGCUUACUGGACUGUAACUGACGUUGAGGCUCGAAAGCGUGGGGAGCAAACAGGAUUAGAUACCCUAGUAGUCC
rnacentral:rRNA from 1 species